rnacentral:rRNA from 1 species
AAUGACUUGCAGAAUUCCGCGAAUCAUCGAGUUUUUGAACGCAAGUUGCGCCCGAGGCUCGUCCCGAGGGCAUGCCCGCCUGAGCGUCCG